GACGAACGCUGGCGGCGUGCUUAACACAUGCAAGUCGAACGGAAAGGCCCUGCUUUUGUGGGGUGCUCGAGUGGCGAACGGGUGAGUAACACGUGAGUAACCUGCCCUUGACUUUGGGAUAACUUCAGGAAACUGGGGCUAAUACCGGAUAGGAGCUCCUGCUGCAUGAUGGGGGUUGGAAAGUUUCGGCGGUUGGGGAUGGACUCGCGGCUUAUCAGCUUGUUGGUGGGGUAGUGGCUUACCAAGGCUUUGACGGGUAGCCGGCCUGAGAGGGUGACCGGCCACAUUGGGACUGAGAUACGGCGCAGACGGCUACGGGAGGCAGCAGUGGGGAAUAUUGCACAAUGGGCGGGAGCCUGAUGCAGCAGCGCCGCGUGCGGGAUGACGGGCUUCGGGUUGUGAACCGCUUUCGCCUGUGACGAAGCGUGAGUGACGGUAAUGGGUAAAGAAGCACCGGCUAACUACGUG
rnacentral:rRNA from 1 species